AGUGAACGCUGGCGGUAGGCCUAACACAUGCAAGUCGAACGGCAGCACAGAGGAGCUUGCUCCUUGGGUGGCGCGUGGCGGACGGGUGAGGAAUACAUCGGAAUCUACUCUUUCGUGGGGGAUAACGUAGGGAAACGUACGCUAAUACCGCAUACGACCUACGGGUGAAAGCAGGGGACCUUCGGGCCUUGCGCGAUUGAAUGAGCCGGUAUGGCAUGAGCUAGUUGGCGGGGUAAAGGCACACCAAGGGGACGAUCCGUAGCUGGUCUGAGAGGAAGCUCAGCCGCGCUGGAACUGAGACACGGUCCAGACGCCUACGGGAGGCAGCAGUGGGGAAUAUUGGACAAUGGGCGCAAGCCUGAUCCAGCCAUACCGCGUGGGUGAAGAAGGCCUUCGGGUUGUAAAGCCCUUUUGUUGGGAAAGAAAUCCAGCUGGCUAAUACCCGGUUGGGAUGACGGUACCCAAAGAAUAAGCACCGGCUAACUUCGUGCCAGCCGCCGCCGUAA
rnacentral:rRNA from 1 species